rnacentral:rRNA from 1 species
UGGGGAAUUUUGGACAAUGGGCGCAAGCCUGAUCCAGCAAUGCCGCGUGCAGGAUGAAGGCCCUCGGGUUGUAAACUGCUUUUGUACGGAACGAAAAGGCUCUGGUUAAUACCUGGGGCUCAUGACGGUACCGUAAGAAUAAGCACCGGCUAACUACGUGCCAGCAGCCGCGGUAAUACGUAGGGUGCAAGCGUUAAUCGGAAUUACUGGGCGUAAAGCGUGCGCAGGCGGUUAUAUAAGUCAGAUGUGAAAUCCCCGGGCUCAACCUGGGACCUGCAUUCGAGACUGUAUAGCUAGAGUACGGUAGAGGGGGAUGGAAUUCCGCGUGUAGCAGUGAAAUGCGUAGAUAUGCGGAGGAACACCGAUGGCGAAGGCAAUCCCCUGGACCUGUACUGACGCUCAUGCACGAAAGCGUGGGGAGCAAACA